ensembl:lncRNA
GUACAACCAAACAUUUUACAGGAGAGGAAACCAAAACAGCCAAAAACAUGCAAAGAAGUUUGUAUCUGGUUUCAGAAAAAUGCAACUCAGAGACCUUUCUGCCUUGCCUUUCUGCCGGAUUCCCCAGCAUGUGGUCCAGAGCCCAUCGCAGAGCAGGCCCCAGAGGUUGCAAACAAAUUUUCACUGGGUGAAGACAAUUACAUUUACAGGCUCUCCAGAAGUCCUUGGCUUGGCCGGAUGGCAGCUCUGCUCCCCGGGGCAGGAGAAGGUUUGGAGUGCUGGCAGAAGCUUCUCGAAUCCUCCCGUUGCUCCUGCUGUGGCCUUGGCUCAGGCUGGGGGCUCCAGUGCCUCUCCCAGUGGGUGCCGGAGGCUGGAGCCGCCUUUGUCUGCCGCAGGAGGCCAGCCAGGCGGCUGCGGCUGCAACCGGCCCCUGCCCAGGCCUGGGAGAUGGUUUUUUUUUCCCUGUGUGUUGCAGCUGGGACCAUUUAUAAUAGAAAAAAAGAGAGAGAGAGAAUGACCAGGCCAGCCGGCUGGAAAAUAAAGAGAC